GAAACCCCUAAAUUUUCCCCCCUAAAAUUGGUAUCCUCAAAACACCUGAGUGUUUCUCUCUUCCACCACCGUCUUCAUCACCAUCUUCCCCUCUCUCCCUCUUUUUGCAUACAUCUCAGAAGAGCUCAUAGUUUAACUGUUUCUCAUAUUUUUUUAUCCCAAUAUUUUAAAUGAAAUAUUUUUUUCCCCCUUCUUUUUUUGAUUCCCCCCAUCCCCAGAAAUCUCCCUAAAUCGAUUCCCCAGUAAUGCUUAGCCUUUUUAUUUUGUUCCCUUGGUGAUGGAGUUUGCAUUUUAUUGUUUAUUAACCUGAUAGGAUUUGCUUUUUCUGCAAUUGCUACUGGAUUUUCCAGGCAUAUGUGCAGAUAUAGCAGUGUCAAAGCAUGAAUACUAGUCGGCAUUGGCUCCUCUUCCAUUUGAAGUUGUUGUCUCAGCUGGACAAAAGGCUAAAGAGGAGGCCUGGGAUAAAGGAUAGUUCAUUUUCUAACUACAUCCCGUUUAAUCCCUCUUUCUUUUUAAUAUAUAUUAUUUUGACCUAUUAAAUUUUAGAACUGUUACAGGUGGUGGACAUUCAGACCGGAGUAAAAUUGUCCAGGAUCUGAAUGAUCUGACUGGAGAAGGAAAUAUUGAAUGGACCUUAGGGAAUUAGCAUCUUUGAAGGUUGAGGAUGCUAUUGUACAGGCAUUAGGCAGGCAUAGGCGACUUGGUUAACGUUGUACAAGCAAAUGUUGAUUUUCUUUGUGAAAUGGUUGACAUUCUCAAAGUUGAAGUCUUGGGAGAACAGCUUAGUAGAAAGAGUGAGUCAUUGGUAGGGUUACGCCCAUCAUUAGAAAGAAUUUUGGCAGACAUUCAUGAACGCUUGACUUUUCGUGCUCGAACAUAUAUCCGUGAUGAGAUUGCAAAUUAUAUCCCGAUUAAUGAAGACUUGAAUUAUCCUGCAAAACUGGAGCAUUCUGCAGACGUGGUGUCAGAAACAGCUCGCUUGAGAAGCUGUAAAAGAUCAUGCUGGAAAAUAUGCGACUGGAGAUGAAGUUUCCAUGGGGGUGCUUCCUGCAGCAAUAUGUGAUUAAGAAAAUGUAAAUCAGGCAGAUCUGUUUCUAGCACCACAGAUUCUGGCUGGGAUUGAACGAUUCAAUGUUGACAUGGAAACAAGAAGAGCCUGGUUGAUGCUAUUGAGAAAGGGAUUGAUCUAUGCAAACAAAUACUAGAACUGUAUAAUGAUUAUUACCAUGGCGGACUGAUGAAGUUAGUGGUAAUUGGUGGUGAGUCUUUGGAUGUACUUCAGCACUGGGUUGAAAAAUUAUUUUCUGACGUCAGACAAGGUUCUCAAGGAAAGCCAGAGUUUAAGGUGGAAGGUCCUGUCUGGAGAGCUGGUAAACUUUACAGGUUAGAGGCAGUUAAGGAUGUCCAUAUCCUUGAAUUAAGGUGGGCACUGCCUUGUCUUUUGCAAGCGUAUCUGCAGAAACCAGAAGAUUAUCUUGCUCAUCUUCUUGGCCAUGUUAUGUAAUUCUGUGUUAUCCUAAUGCUUAAGUAGUACAUUGCUCAUGGAAAUAAUAAUAACAAAGAAAAGGAUGCAUGUGCAAAUAUGAAGAAAAUGUGAACUGUCCAGUUUUGAUGCCUUAAAAGUAAUAAGUUAUUCUUGAUUUGCCUGUAAA